AGAGAGCUUGCUCUCGGGUGACGAGCGGCGGACGGGUGAGUAAUGUCUGGGAAACUGCCUGAUGGAGGGGGAUAACUACUGGAAACGGUAGCUAAUACCGCAUAACGUCGCAAGACCAAAGUGGGGGACCUUCGGGCCUCAUGCCAUCAGAUGUGCCCAGAUGGGAUUAGCUAGUAGGUGGGGUAAUGGCUCACCUAGGCGACGAUCCCUAGCUGGUCUGAGAGGAUGACCAGCCACACUGGAACUGAGACACGGUCCAGACUCCUACGGGAGGCAGCAGUGGGGAAUAUUGCACAAUGGGCGCAAGCCUGAUGCAGCCAUGCCGCGUGUAUGAAGAAGGCCUUCGGGUUGUAAAGUACUUUCAGCGAGGAGGAAGGCGUUAAGGUUAAUAACCUUGGUGAUUGACGUUACUCGCAGAAGAAGCACCGGCUAACUCCGUGCCAGCAGCCGCGGUAAUACGGAGGGUGCAAGCGUUAAUCGGAAUUACUGGGCGUAAAGCGCACGCAGGCGGUCUGUCAAGUCGGAUGUGAAAUCCCCGGGCUCAACCUGGGAACUGCAUUCGAAACUGGCAGGCUAGAGUCUUGUAGAGGGGGGUAGAAUUCCAGGUGUAGCGGUGAAAUGCGUAGAGAUCUGGAGGAAUACCGGUGGCGAAGGCGGCCCCCUGGACAAAGACUGACGCUCAGGUGCGAAAGCGUGGGGAGCAAACAGGAUUAGAUACCCUGGUAGUCCACGCCGUAAACGAUGUCGACUUGGAGGUUGUGCCCUUGAGGCGUGGCUUCCGGAGCUAACGCGUUAAGUCGACCGCCUGGGGAGUACGGCCGCAAGGUUAAAACUCAAAUGAAUUGACGGGGGCCCGCACAAGCGGUGGAGCAUGUGGUUUAAUUCGAUGCAACGCGAAGAACCUUACCUACUCUUGACAUCCAGAGAACUUAGCAGAGAUGCUUUGGUGCCUUCGGGAACUCUGAGACAGGUGCUGCAUGGCUGUCGUCAGCUCGUGUUGUGAAAUGUUGGGUUAAGUCCCGCAACGAGCGCAACCCUUAUCCUUUGUUGCCAGCGGUCCGGCCGGGAACUCAAAGGAGACUGCCAGUGAUAAACUGGAGGAAGGUGGGGAUGACGUCAAGUCAUCAUGGCCCUUACGAGUAGGGCUACACACGUGCUACAAUGGCAUAUACAAAGAGAAGCGACCUCGCGAGAGCAAGCGGACCUCAUAAAGUAUGUCGUAGUCCGGAUUGGAGUCUGCAACUCGACUCCAUGAAGUCGGAAUCGCUAGUAAUCGUAGAUCAGAAUGCUACGGUGAAUACGUUCCCGGGCCUUGUACACACCGCCCGUCACACCAUGGGAGUGGGUUGCAAAAGAAGUAGGUAGCUUA
rnacentral:rRNA from 1 species